UACAGAGGGGGCCAGCGUUGUUCGGAAUUACUGGGCGUAAAGCGCACGUAGGCGGCUUUGUAAGUUAGAGGUGAAAGCCCGGGGCUCAACUCCGGAAUUGCCUUUAAGACUGCAUCGCUUGAACAUCGGAGAGGUGAGUGGAAUUCCGAGUGUAGAGGUGAAAUUCGUAGAUAUUCGGAAGAACACCAGUGGCGAAGGCGACUCACUGGACGAUUGUUGACGCUGAGGUGCGAAAGCGUGGGGAGCAAACAGG
rnacentral:rRNA from 1 species